AUCUCAUUGGCCCGAAUUCACAAAGGAGGUUUAGAUUUAACCCAGGCUAAAUCGCGUCAUAAUACGUCAUAACCCCGAGCUUUAGACCAUGGGUCAUUAUUUUGGUAUUCACAAAGGAAGUUUAGAUUUAACCCAGGCUAAAUCGCGUCAUAUUACGUCAUAAUUUUAACCUGCUCAGAAGGGUGGUUUAAACAGCGGGCUAAAUCUAACCCACGGUUUAACCCACGGUUUAACGCGUCAUAUUACGUCAUACCAGCGAGCUUUGGCUUUUUAGCGCCGACGAACGAACAAAUUUUGUUGACAAAUUUGUGGUAAAACAAAGGGAAGAGACCUUCACAAAGUUGCUGUUUUUUCAUCUUUGAUAGCCUACAUUAGACAGCAUGGCUGAAUAUAUUCACCAUCUCCGCCAGCUUGAUCGGAACAGAGAGUUGAUAGGCAGACCUCAGAGAGGCCUUCGUGACCCAUGAACCCUUUUGAAGUGUAUGAUGAUGAGUCAUUUCGGACCAGGUACUGGUUUUCCAAAGAGACAGCGCUCUACCUCAUCAACUUGGUGGAUGAAGAGCUGAGGACGACAGACAGAAACGACCCAAUACCUAUACAGGUAGUGACAGCACUUCGAUUCUAUGCUGUUGGGUCAUUCCAAAAGAUGCAUGGUGAUGAGGCACAACUUUCAGAGUCUUCUGUAUGCAGAGUCAUCAAAGACGUGUCAGAAGCGUUUGCAAGAAGAAGGAAACAAUUCAUGAAGUUCCCAACAUCAAGAGAAGAAGUAGAAGCAACACAGCAGCAGUUCUACCAAUACUGCAGGUUGCCAGGUUUUCUAGGUGCAAUUGAUAGGACUCGUGUCUACAUCAGGAGUCCUGGUGGAGAUCAAGCACUGUAUUUUAUUAAUAGGAAGAACAGAUACUCUAUUAAUGAAAUGAAAAUUUUCCCUUUUUUUGGAGAUGCUCCCCAUUUACUUUUAAUGCAAUUAAUUAAAUGACCGAUAUGGAAUUGGUUCACCCUUUAGUUUCUCUGAACGAAACGUACACCCAUGCAGUACUGUGGUCUGAAACAAUUAGACCGUAUGAUUUGAAAUCUAAUGGUUGAUAUAGUUCCUCCCAAAAACAUUUUUGCAAAAGGUACCAACCACUUUGAAAGGGAAAUCGUCAUCAUCUUCAUCAUUAUCAACAUCGUCACUGAAAUCGUUAUUUGACUGCUUCAUCACCAUCACCACCGAAAACAUUGCUGUCAUCAUUAUCAUCACUGACAUCAUUAUCGACUUCAAUAUUGUCUUCGUCAAUAACCUUGAAUACUUAUUUUGAUUAUCCAUAUUAAAUCGUCAAUAUUUAAAUAUAAAUUUCUCUUGUUUGAUGGUGUGGUUUUUCUCGUGAAAUCAUUAAGUUAGGAGGUAAACGUUUUACAAGUGAAUGACCUACUUUGUUUAUCUUGUUUAAUUAUUAAUAUACCAUUUGCUGUUAUCUAUUACUUAUAAUUACCCAGUACACACCAUGAAUGAAAAUGGAUUCGGUAUGUUUCGCUAAAUCCAAACACCCACACAGAGAGAGAUGAAGAAAGAAGGAGAAAGGGUAUGUGUGAGAGAGAGAGGUGGAGAAAAAAGAGAAAGAAAAGGGGUACGAGAGGGAUUUUAAAAAAUGGAGUUCUAACGAAAUAAAAAGAUAUUUGACAGAGGUGGGGUGGAGAGCUGGUGAAAAAA
rnacentral:lncRNA from 1 species